AACCAAACCCGAUAGCAAUGGAAAGACCGCAAGCGAACGCAGUGAGUGCGGACUUGAAAUGAAUAGCGGGACUUACA
rnacentral:misc_RNA from 1 species